CGUGACCCCCCAUAACUGAGCUGCUUCUGGUGUUCCUCUUCUAGUGGAUGGUGCCCACGAUCCAGAACUCCAUGAAGCCUUUCCGGGACAUGGACUACUCCAGGAUCAUCGAGCGUCUCCUGAAGCUAGCUGUUCCCAAUCACUUGAUAUGGCUCAUCUUCUUCUACUGGUUCUUCCACUCCAGCCUGAACUUUAUAGCCGAGAUCUUGCAGUUUGGCGACCGAGAGUUUUACCGGGAUUGGUGGUGAGUUGGCUGGGUGUGUGUGUGUGCGUGUGUGUGUGUGUGUGUGUGUGUGUGUGUAAUCUAUUGACUGGGCCACGCAGAGGACUCCCUACCUUUUGGCAUGUUGGUCCAAACUGAUCAGAAUGGCACUGGAUUGCUUGGAUUACGGCAGCCUCUGAGCCUUUCACAAAGGUUGCAAGCAAAUCCGUUUGGAUAAGGAAGG